rnacentral:rRNA from 1 species
AAUCAACGCUGGCGGCGUGCCUAACACAUGCAAGUCGAACGCGAAAAGGGCUUCGGCCCUGAGUAGAGUGGCGUCCGGGUGAGUAACUCGUAGGUAAUCUACCUUGGGGUGGGGAAUAACGCCUCGAAAGAGGCGCUAAUACCGCAUAAUGCAGCGGCAGCAAAUGCUGAUAAGUUGUUAAAGCGGGGACCGAGCAAUCGGCCUCGCGCCUGAAGAGGAGCCUGCGGCAGAUUAGCUGGUUGGUGAGGUAAUGGCUCACCAAGGCAACGAUCUGUAGCUGGUCUGAGAGGACGGCCAGCCACACUGGCACUGACACACGGGCCAGACUCCUACGGGAGGCAGCAGUGGGGAAUUUUGGGCAAUGGGCGAAAGCCUGACCCAGCAACGCCGCGUGAGGGAGGAAAUCCUUCGGGAUGUAAACCUCACAAGCAAGGGAAGAGAGCAGGAAGGCUAACACUCUUUCUGU